rnacentral:tRNA from 1 species
GGGAUGUGGCGGAAUAGGCAGACGCAUCGGACUUAAAAUCCGGUGGUGGUAACACCGUGCGGGUUCAAGUCCCGCCAUCCCC